UACAGAGGGUGCAAGCGUUAAUCGGAAUUACUGGGCGUAAAGCGUGCGUAGACGGUUAUUUAAGUCAGGUGUGAAAGCCCCGGGCUCAACCUGAGAAUUGCAUUUGAGACUGAAUAGCUAGGGUGCGGAAGAGGGAAGCGGAAUUUCCGGUGUAGCGGUGAAAUGCGUAGAUAUCGGAAGGAACACCAGUGGCGAAAGCGGCUUCCUGGUCCAGCACCGACGUUCAGGCACGAAAGCGUGGGGAGCAAACAGG
rnacentral:rRNA from 1 species